CAGGGCCCAACCCCAAUCUCAGCCCUACUCCACUCUAGCGCUAUAGUUGUAGCAGGAGUUUUUCUGCUCAUCUGCUUCUAUCCCCUAAUAGAAAAUAGUGUAUUAAUCCAAACCUUUACACUGUUUAGGUGCUAUUACCACCAUAUUUAGAGCAAUCUGUGCUCUAACACAAAAUGAUAUCAAAACAAUGGUAGCACUCUCCACUUCAAGUCAACUAGACCUUACAAUACUCACAAUUGACAUUAAUCAACCACACCUAGCACUUCUACACAUCUGCACCCAUGCCUUUGCACCCAUGCCUUUUUUAAAGCUAUAUUAUUUAUGUGUUCGGGAUCCAUCAUCCACAACCUCAACGAUGAACAAGAUAUUCUAAAAAUAGGAGGACUAUUUAAGACUUUACCCCUUACUUCUUCCUCCCUUAUUAUUGGCAGCUUAGCACUUACAGGUAUGCCUUUCCUAAUAGGCUUUUACUCUAAAUACCUUAUUAUUGAAACCACAAACGUGAUAUACCAAUACCUGAGCCCUUUCUAGUACUCUUAUUGCCACCUCCUUAACAGCUGUUUGUAGUAUCAGAAUUAUUGUCUUUGUUCUAAUAGGACAACCCCACUUCACAACUCUAAUUAUUAAUGAAAAUAAACCCUUCCUAAUUCAAUUAAACACCUAAUAAUAGGCAGUAUCUUCACUGGAUUUCUUAUCAGCAAUAGUAUUAUCCCCACCUCUUCCCCCCAGACAACAGUACCACCUCAUCUAAAACUUACAGCCCUUAGUGUAACCUAGGGAUUUUGCUAGCAAUGGAGCUCAGUCUUCUAACUAAUAAUCUUAAGACUAUUAGUCUUCUAACUAAUAAUCUUAAGACUAUUAGUCUUCUAACUAAUAAUCUUAAGCUAAAAUAUCCAUUACAGACAUUCAACUUCUCCAAUAUACUGGAAUUUUACUCAACCACAAUCCAUUGUACAACCCCUUGCUCAAGCCAAAAUCUGGCUUCACUUCUACUAUACCUAGUUUGAUUAGAAAAGUCCAUACCAAAGACAAUUUCACAGACCCACGUUACAGCCUCCAUUACCAUAUCCACUCAAAAAGGCCUAAUUAAAUUUUAUUUCCAUUCCUUUUUUAUCCCCUCCUUUCUAACUCUACUCUUAAUU
rnacentral:lncRNA from 10 species